rnacentral:rRNA from 1 species
UACAGAGGUCUCAAGCGUUGUUCGGAUUCAUUGGGCGUAAAGGGCGCGUAGGCGGCGGGGUAAGUCGGGUGUGAAAUCUCAGAGCUCAACUCUGAAACUGCACUCGAUACUGCUCUGCUUGAGGACUGGAGAGGAGACUGGAAUUCACGGUGUAGCAGUGAAAUGCGUAGAUAUCGUGAGGAAGACCAGUGGCGAAGGCGGGUCUCUGGGACGGUACUGACGCUGAGACGCGAAAGCGUGGGGAGCGAACAGG